AAUGCACCACAUCUUACGCUCA
rnacentral:miRNA from 1 species